UGGUUGGCUGCAGGUGGGUUGUUGGGGCCAGAGUCAUCCAGAGAUGCCUGUGGUUCAGAUGGUACCAGCAGAGGGGUGGCGAUGACGUCUCUCUCCCGUUCCUUAUCAAUAGCACAAGCCCUGCCGAGGAGCUGUUAGUGUCCCCCGAUGGGAAGCGUGCCUUCUGGGGGAGCGGCUGGGUUUCCCCCGCAGAGCAGGACAUCUCCAGCCGUGCAGCAGAUCUGCCCGGCUCUUAGGCACUCGUGGGGAACCGAGGCAGAGGUGAGCACAAAUGGGGAUGGAGAGCAAGGCAGGGCAGGCCGAGCUCAGUGGUAAAUCCAUCCCCUGAAGCUGCAGUGCAAACAGGAAAUGAUCUCUUAACGCUGUGCACCUGCAUCUCCAGGAAUAACAUCCAAAAGGGGCCCAAGCCCGCAGCAGGGUCCAGAGGAAUGGUGCUCUCGAGUCCAACGGCAGGGAUAUUUAAGACUCCUUGGCCAGCUCCAGUCCUCGCUCAGCUUCUGGUUCCUGCCUUGCGCCUCUGCCAGAUGCGCGCUCCCUUUCCCUCUCCUGCAAUAAAGGAUUUCCGUGCUGCAGAAAAGCACCGAGGUGGCGGUGCUGGGGGCUGGAGGUGCCUGGCUGCCCGGCACGGCACCACCAGCAUGUUUUGUGCAAGGCUGGUGUGAGGGGACAGCGAUGCUGCUGGGGGCUUUCAGCAGCUGGGCCUGACCUGGAACCAUCAGCACGGUGAGCUCACAGCUCCCGGCUAUCCCCUGCCAAAGCUCCUCAUUGGAAAUAAAAAAUGUGCACAUGGAUGAAAAUGUGCUUAUCCCGAGGCUGGGACGGCUGCGCCCAGCCCCACGUGGAGCCGCCCCGGCUUAGCCAGACGCCAUCGGCUGGGAUGGGAAUGUCAACGGGACCGAAACCAGAGGGACAGAUCUCCUGCCCGGCCAGGAAUCCAGUCGGGCUGCUGCGAGGCGGGUGGGUGUCAGCACCCACGCAUUAUGUGCAGGCGAGGCUGUGGCCCGGCCGUGGUGCCUCCGGAAGCACAGGUCCUACCAGCUCUGCUGGCUCUUCCAUUCGGGAGUGACAUGAUUAAAGUGUCUUUAAAGACCCAGUGCUGAGGGUUUCCCCUGACCUCGGAGGAUCUGAUGGCACUUGAAAGGCUGGGAAGCUGCAGCUGACCUCACAGCGGAAGGAAGGUGAUUCCUCGUCAGCCAGACCGGCUGGUUCAGAGACGAGUGCACUCCCCUGUAAUCAUUGCUUUGCCAGGAGCUUCACCUUUCCUUUGUCGUGCAGGCAGUGUCCGCACAAAGCAGAGUCUGGCCUCCAGAGGGAUGGGGAGCACUCUGGUGUUGCAGCCACUUCCAAGCCAGAGUCCUCCCCAGAGCUGUGAGAGCGGGGCCGGGCGGCGUUCCCAAAGCCCCUGCGCUCGCCCUACAGAUGUGGGGGAAGAGAGGGGGCAGAGCGCCUCUGGCAGUGGAGACCUAAAGCUUGGAAAAGCCUGAAAGAAAUUGCCUGCAGCUGCUUCUGCAGCAGGCUAAAAUGUGAGGCAUGACAGUACUUCUCGGAUCGCAGGGGGGUGGGAGAGGUGUCUUCGGGAGGCUUGCUUCCCCUGUCCCACGGGGGUGUCUAACAGGGUGACUGUGGGGUUUAGCUCCGUGAUGGGGGAUUAGGCGUUCCUCAGCAAAGACGGUUUCACAUUCUUUCACCCUGAUUUACCACUUGGUGCUCUCCUUCCCCGAACAGAAAUCGUCUCGCUCAGCCCCCUUCCAGUUACGGCGUUACAGGGGUUUACAGCCCAGCGUCCUUUUCUAGUGUAUUUGCCUUGAUUUAAUGCUUUGAUUUGAAAGUUAUUUUUUACAAUAAGAGAAAGAUGGUCCAUGCCAAAAAAAGCAGUUUCAUAAAAUGCUGAACAUGACUUGCAUUCUGUAAUUGCAAACCUGAGAGACUUGGAGUAAUUGACAUUUUGGAUGUAUUGCAGAGUAUCGUAUUUAAUCUUGAAAAGCAGGUUCCAGGCAAAGGAGGGAACUGCCAAACCAAACUCAGACUCCUCGCCGGGUUCCUACCAUAACUCAUUUUCAAAUCCAUUCAGCACAGUCCUGAACCCAAAUGUUUACGUUUUUGAUUUGCUAAGAUAAUAUUCCUGGGUCACCGAAACUGUUUGUCAGGGAGCGUCUCGAAGAGACAGCCGGACCCGGGGAUGCGCCGGCUCAAAUCUCGUCGGCGUGCGAGGGCCCUGGCGCUUUCUGGCUCUCCGAUGAGAUCCUGGAGAAUCGCAUCUGUCUCCCAGGAAUGCAGUUCCCCUGCUGCAUGGGAUGACAGCGAUAUCUCGCCUUGUUGUCCAC